CAUAGCGACUAUCGUGGCAUAUCAAUAAGCGGAGGAAAAGAAACUAACAAGGAUUCCCUUAGUAACGGCGAGUGAAGCGGGAAGAGCUCAAAUUUGAAAUCUUAAAGGUUUCCCUUGACGAAUUGUAGUUUAUAGAAGUGUUUUCUGUUAGUAGAGUUUGGUAAAAGUUCUUUGGAAUAGGACAUCAUAGAGGGUGAGAAUCCCGUAUUUGGACCAUUAUUUCCUAGCUUUGUGAUACACUUUCAAAGAGUCGGAUUGUUUGGGAAUGCAGUCCAAAAUGGGUGGUAAAUUUCAUCUAAAGCUAAAUAUUGGCGAGAGACCGAUAGCGAACAAGUACCGUGAGGGAAAGAUGAAAAGAACUUUGAAAAGAGAGUUAAACAGUACGUGAAAUUGUCAAAAGGGAAGCGUUUGACACCAGUGUUGUUUUCUCGAAAAUCAAUUACGAAUGUUUUAGUUUUUGAGAAGUUAUGACUUCAUCGGCUUGCUUCUCUCUUUAUGAAACUUUCUUAAUGCACUUUUCGGUUAACAAGUCAACAUCAAUUUCUUUUGUCGUAAAAGGGUAUGAGGAAGGUGGCUUUCUUUUCGGAGAAAGUGUUUAUAGCCUUGUACCUCUGCAAUCGGAGAGAUUGAGGUCUGCAGCGUAGAUCCUUCGGGGUUAGAUUCAUUUGUGCUAAGUUAUAGCUUUUCAUAGACAACUUGUUGACUAUGUUUAGUCAUGUAGCUUACUCGCUUAUGUAAUUUUACCUACGCUUAGGAUGUUGAUAGUCACAGCGUGUAC
rnacentral:rRNA from 1 species